rnacentral:rRNA from 1 species
AGUGAACGCUGGCGGUAGGCCUAACACAUGCAAGUCGAACGGCAGCACAGUAAGAGCUUGCUCUUACGGGUGGCGAGUGGCGGACGGGUGAGGAAUACAUCGGAAUCUACUUUUUCGUGGGGGAUAACGUAGGGAAACUUACGCUAAUACCGCAUACGACCUACGUGUGAAAGCAGGGGAUCUUCUGACCUUGCGCGAUUGAAUGAGCCGAUGUCGGAUUAGCUAGUUGGCGGGGUAAAGGCCCACCAAGGCGACGAUCCGUAGCUGGUCUGAGAGGAUGAUCAGCCACACUGGAACUGAGACACGGUCCAGACUCCUACGGGAGGCAGCAGUGGGGAAUAGUAGACAAUGGGCGCAAGCCUGAUCCAGCCAGACCGCGUGGGUGAAGAAGGCCUUCGGGUUGUAAAGACCUUUUGUUGGGAAAGAAAAGCAGCAGGUUAAUACCCCGAUGUUCUGACGGUACCCAAAGAAUAAGCACCGGCUAACUUCGUG